GAUCCUGGCUCAGGAUGAACGCUAGCUACAGGCUUAACACAUGCAAGUCGAGGGGCAGCGGGAUUGAAGCUUGCUUCAAUUGCCGGCGACCGGCGCACGGGUGAGUAACGCGUAUCCAACCUUCCGUACACUCAGGGAUAGCCUUUCGAAAGAAAGAUUAAUACCUGAUGGUAUGAUGAGAUUGCAUGAUAGCAUCAUUAAAGAUUUAUCGGUGUACGAUGGGGAUGGCG
rnacentral:rRNA from 1 species